rnacentral:lncRNA from 1 species
CGCGCUUCAGUCGCUGCCCUCCAUCCUCGCCGCCCUCCAUCCUGGUCGAGGUCGCCGCCCCGCUUCACUCGCCGCCCUCCAUCCGCGUCGAUCCUGGACAAGGUCGCCGCGGCCCUCCAUCACUUCGCCGCCGCGCUGAACACCUCGACGAUCCGGCGCGGGUCCUGGAUCAGGGGUCGCCGCCGCCCUCCACUUCAGGAGACGAAGCCGAUCGCAUUGAGGAUCCGCCGCCCUCGCACGUCAGAGCCACCGCCCUCGCACGAGGGAUCCGGCGACAGUCCCCUUCAGGAGGACGCCAAUCCCCCAGAUCCGGCGCUGUUCUCGUUGAGGUCCUGAUGCCGAUCAGCGCGGCAGACCCGGUGGCAGCUGACGGGUGUGGAGGGAGGUGGGGUAGAUCCAGUGCGUGUGCGUGCUGAACUGCUGAUGAACCGGUUGUAGCGCUCAAUCCCUGCCAAGGGCCAGCGUGGUCUCUGGAAAAGGUGAGGAUGCCCUUUGAUGAGCCUGGGCAAAGCCUUUGAAUCAGGACAUGCAAUUUGAUCCAGCAAUUAGCAAUAUAACCAUGGUGUUUACGUAUUAUUUAAUGGAGAAUGGUUGGAUCUAGCUCCGCCCCUGUUUCUUUCGUAGAUUGAUUUGGUGUUUGCGCCGGUAUUGAACCCGUCGUCAUGGUUGUUUGUGGUUGUCGCAGGUUUGGUCCGGGCAUGGUUGGUGAUUCCCAGGGUUGCCGGUCUUCAUCUCUGCUGUCCAAUGAUUCUUUUAUUACAGUUGAAGGCGCCUGUCAUUGGUGUGCAAGCCAGACCUGAGGGACGACCAACAGAACAUCCUUGAGAAGACGAUGGCACCCAUCAUCCAAUCGUUCCAUGGGAUUGUGACCUGCAUUGAAAUUUCAGUGCUAUGCGUUCCGCCAGACUGAGAUCAAAAAGACCCCCAUUGUAUCAAUUUACAUUCGUAACACUUUAUUAUGUCAAUUUGUUGAUUGUUCUAACAGUUGCUCAGCCUCACGUAAUAUUCCAACAGUGCAUAUUUUUUGUAAUUUUGAUUGUUCGUUAGAGUUCUAGAUACUAUGCUCGAGUAGAGUAGGUUUACUAUAACAGAUUGUUUAGGAAUCACAAGUGCAGAAGGUCUUCUACCAUCUGUGGUGUGAGGGUUUUGAAGCAGAU